rnacentral:rRNA from 1 species
AUUGAACGCUGGCGGCAUGCCUUACACAUGCAAGUCGAACGGUAACAGGUCUUCGGAUGCUGACGAGUGGCGCACGGGUGAGUAAUACAUCGGAACGUGCCCGAUCGUGGGGGAUAACGAGGCGAAAGCUUUGCUAAUACCGCAUACGAUCUACGGAUGAAAGCGGGGGAUCUUCGGACCUCGCGCGGACGGAGCGGCCGAUGGCAGAUUAGGUAGUUGGUGGGAUAAAAGCUUACCAAGCCGACGAUCUGUAGCUGGUCUGAGAGGAUGAUCAGCCACACUGGGACUGGGACACGGCCCAGACUCCUACGGGAGGCAGCAGUGGGGAAUUUUGGACAAUGGGCGAAAGCCUGAUCCAGCCAUGCCGCGUGCAGGAUGAAGGCCUUCGGGUUGUAAACUGCUUUUGUACGGAACGAAAAGCCUCUUUCUAAUAAAGAGAGGUCAUGACGGUACCGUAAGAAUAAGCACCGGCUAACUACGUG